ACUCCCAGGCUUGCUGGAGAGUGAGGCCCUCGCGCGGCGUCUCUCGCCUGGGCGCCCAGUGCAGGGAAGGGUUGUCGUGGGCUGCGGGUGGGCAGCCUAGGUCCCUUUCCUCACACAGGCGAACGCUCCGCACGUGGACGCCGUGCGAUCUGUUCAAGCGUGUAAGGGAGGGCGGCCACAAUCUUUUGUUUAACGUAGGUUAAAGGCUACCCGGGAAGGUGGGCGAGAAGCCUCGAAGGCACGCCGUCGUUGUUGGUGGCGGCGGGCGCAUCCUCCUCGGUUUCCCUGAGAAUCCCGACCGAGCCGCCUUUCCCAGGAGCCGAGACCCGGGCCUCGUCGGGUCCCCCUCCCGUCGCGGCCCAAACAAAAGCCUCCUGCCUCAGUCAUGAAGACCGCGAAGCUGACGUGUGUGCGCUAGUCUGGGUCGGGCUUUCCUCGAACAGCCAUCCCCGGGGCCCUCUUGGAUGACAAGGCUGCUGAGCAAUUGCGAGCACGCGAGACCGGAGAGAAAACUUAAGAUCGCACACGCCGGCCUGCUGUGCGUGCGCGUCUCCUGCUCCGCCCGCACCUCUCCUGGGGAGGGUUUUAUUCACAAAGGCCCGAGGGUCUUUGCAGGGCCUGUUAAAGGAGAACUGCGACGCAGUGUAGUUGCUUCUAGGUAUGGAGUGUGGUCCUAGCUCCUCACUCAUCGAAUAGAGACAGUCCCGCCAGCACUGCAGUUUCCUAACCACUUUAAACCUCUUUAAAAAAAAAAUCUCAAUUUGGCUUGAUUCAGGCAACCAGGAUAGGGAAGGGAUCCCCUACAGGGUCAGCCGACUUGGGUGGGAUUUUUGCUAGGGGAGAGGGGAGAAGAUGACGUGCUUGGCGCCAUGAUCGGAAGUCUGGGUUUAAUUCUUUAACUGCGAGGUGGAAAAUUUGCGUGGGAGGGCGAUCUUAAGAGGUGAAGUCUAGCCCUCCCUUCUUCUAGUAGGCAGAAAGGUUGUUCUGAAGGCUGGUUUUGCCGGUCUUUCAUUGUGGCUAAGGGCAGUUCCAGGAUACCUUCAUAAACACACUCCUCAAGCCUUACUGUUCGCUUGCUUAUUCAAGCCUCCUUUUAUCUCUGUAUCUGAACGUGAUGUUAAUAAAUCACAUUCCUUAAA